rnacentral:lncRNA from 1 species
CUCAAUGUCGGAGCAGCAAAAUGGUGUUAUCAGUGAUGUUAUUGUGAGAAUUAAUAAGGGGUGAGAGUGGAGUUCUUGUGGCGAAGGGAAAUGUUUGUUUGGGAAGAAGAAAAGUACCAGCACAUGCUACUUUAGUUAGAGGAGAUGAAGAUACAGUUCCAUGUGGAGGAUAGGUGGUGGUGGGAAGCAGAGAGUAGUGGAGAAUAUAGUGUGAGUUCGACAUAUUGCGCUUUACUGGAUCAGCAAGGUGUAGGGGAUGAUCGACCUG